rnacentral:tRNA from 1 species
UUGAAAACAAGCUUUAAAGCAUUUCAUUUACACUGAAAAGGUUCUUGUUAACAUUACAAGGUUUUCAAU